UAACAUUUUCGGGGCAAGGCGAAAUUCCUUACCGAUGGUAAUAGUCCAUGAACCUUAAUUGGUUGAUUCAGUGAAAUUCUGAAACCGACGGUAUAGUCCGGAUGGUAGAAAAUGUCA
rnacentral:ncRNA from 2 species